rnacentral:rRNA from 1 species
AGAGUUUGAUCCUGGCUCAGGACGAACGCUGGCGGCGCGCCUAACACAUGCAAGUCGAACGAGCGAUGGAGAGCUUGCUUUCCAGAGCGAGUGGCGAACGGGUGAGUAACGCGUGAGGAACCUGCCUCAAAGAGGGGGACAACAGUUGGAAACGACUGCUAAUACCGCAUAAGCCCACGGGUCGGCAUCGACCAGAGGGAAAAGGAGCAAUCCGCUUUGAGAUGGCCUCGCGUCCGAUUAGCUAGUUGGUGAGGUAACGGCCCACCAAGGCGACGAUCGGUAGCCGGACUGAGAGGUUGAACGGCCACAUUGGGACUGAGACACGGCCCAGACUCCUACGGGAGGCAGCAGUGGGGAAUAUUGCACAAUGGGGGAAACCCUGAUGCAGCGACGCCGCGUGGAGGAAGAAGGUCUUCGGAUUGUAAACUCCUGUUGUUGGGGAAGAUAAUGACGGUACCCAACAAGGAAGUGACGGCUAACUACGUGCCAGCAGCCGCGGUAAAACGUAGGUCACAAGCGUUGUCCGGAAUUACUGGGUGUAAAGGGAGCGCAGGCGGGAAGACAAGUUGGAAGUGAAAUCCAUGGGCUCAACCCAUGAACUGCUUUCAAAACUGUUUUUCUUGAGUAGUGCAGAGGUAGGCGGAAUUCCCGGUGUAGCGGUGGAAUGCGUAGAUAUCGGGAGGAACACCAGUGGCGAAGGCGGCCUACUGGGCACCAACUGACGCUGAGGCUCGAAAGUGUGGGUAGCAAACAGGAUUAGAUACCCUGGUAGUCCACACCGUAAACGAUGAUUACUAGGUGUUGGAGGAUUGACCCCUUCAGUGCCGCAGUUAACACAAUAAGUAAUCCACCUGGGGAGUACGACCGCAAGGUUGAAACUCAAAGGAAUUGACGGGGGCCCGCACAAGCAGUGGAGUAUGUGGUUUAAUUCGACGCAACGCGAAGAACCUUACCAAGUCUUGACAUCCUGUGGACAGACGUAAAAAUAACGUUCUUCCUUCGGGAACCAGAAACAAGGGGGGGCAGGGUUGUCGCCCCCUCCCGGCCCGGAAAAAUUGGGGUUAAAUCCCCCCACCAGAGGCGACCCCUUAUUGUGCGGUUAUUACCCAAAGAAGAAUCUUGGCCCAAAUGCCCUUUGACAAAACAGAGGGAGAGUGGGGAGUAAGGCCAAAACAUAAUGGCCCUUUUUGAAUUUGGGGUCACCACGACCCCCCAAUGGCGGUUUAAAAAAAAGAAAGAAAAAACCCCCAGGGGGGGAGAAAACUCAAAACAACGUCCCAGUUCGGACUGCAGGCUGCAACUCGCCUGCACGAAGUCGGAAUUGCUAGUAAUCGUGGAUCAGCAUGCCACGGUGAAUACGUUCCCGGGCCUUGCACACACCGCCCGUC